GACGAACGCUGGCGGCGUGCUUAACACAUGCAAGUCGAACGAUGAAGCCCAGCUUGCUGGGUGGAUUAGUGGCGAACGGGUGAGUAACACGUGAGUAACCUGCCCUGGACUCUGGGAUAACCCCGAGAAAUCGGAGCUAAUACCGGAUGGGACCUUUCCUCGCAUGAGGUUUGGUGGAAAGUUUUUCGGUUUGGGAUGGACUCGCGGCCUAUCAGCUUGCUGGUGAGGUAAUGGCUCACCAAGGCGUCGACGGGUAGCCGGCCUGAGAGGGUGACCGGCCACACUGGGACUGAGACACGGCCCAGACUCCUACGGGAGGCAGCAGUGGGGAAUAUUGCACAAUGGGCGCAAGCCUGAUGCAGCAACGCCGCGUGCGGGAUGACGGCCUUCGGGUUGUAAACCGCUUUUAGUAGGGAAGAAGCCUUCGGGUGACGGUACCUGCAGAAAAAGGACCGGCUAACUACGUGCCAGCAGCCGCGGUAAAAC
rnacentral:rRNA from 1 species